rnacentral:pre_miRNA from 1 species
UUGUGUAGAAUGGUUAGGUAGAGUGUUUGUCUGGAGUGGCAACCACUCCAGACAAACACUCUACCUAACCAUUCUACACAAC